AGCUUUGCGCAGUGGCAGCAUUGUAGCCAAUGAGGUUUAGCCAAGGCAUGAUUAUUGCUAACUGAAAACUUUUCCCAAUACCCCGCCAUGACGACUUGAAAUAGUCGGCAUUGGCAAUUUUUGACAGUCUCUACGGAGA